GCCGGCCCCGCGGGCUUCCCGGGAGGCGGGGACUACGCCUGGCUCCGGAGCUGCUGGUGGACCCCGGCUGGGCGGUCAGUGUGGAGCGUUGUCGCCCAGGCGCGCCUCGGAGGCAUUCCCUUGGUGUGGAGGAAGACAUGGUCCCUUCCCUAAGAUGAACUCACAGUCUUCUGGGGGAGACAGACGUUCACAGAGGAGAGAGAGAGAGAGGCAGAGACACAGGCAGAGGGAGAAGCAGGCUCCAUGCACCGGGAGCCCGACGUGGGAUUCGAUCCCGGGUCUCCAGGAUCGCGCCCUGGGCCAAAGGCAGGCGCCAAACCGCUGCGCCACCCAGGGAUCCCUUGAGUUGUGCUUUGAAGGACAAAAAUCACACAGAGAGAGAGAGAGAGAGAGGCAGAGACACAGGCAGAGGGAGAAGCAGGCUCCAUGCACCGGGAGCCCGACGUGGGAUUCGAUCCGGGGUCUCCAGGAUCGCGCCCUGGGCCAAAGGCAGGCACUAAACCGCUGGGCCACCCAGGGAUCCCGGGAACAGAUAUUUUAAUGUGAGGCAUCUUCUCCAUGAAUAUGAGAGAGUAAGAAAGCACAAGGAGUGGGAGCAGCAAAGGAGAAGCAGGCUCUCCAUUACGCAGGGAGCCCAACGCGGAGCUUGAUCACAGGACUCUGAGCUGAAGGCAGUUGCUUAAUCGACUGGGCCACCCAGGUGCCCCUCUCUAUAAUGUUUUACAGUGAACAGACCUUUUGCUAAAUUGGUUCCAAAGUAUUUUAUGUUUUUUCAAGCUACUGUAAGUGAAAUUGAAUAAAUUCAUCUUUAAAGUAA